CAGAGAGAAAAAAUGCACGGCAUUCAGGUCUGGACUGGGAAGUCUCAGUCUACUUGCGUGAAGGCAGUGGUGGAUGGGAUGUAGCUGUGGGUUAUACCGACUGAAAAAGGCAUUAAAAUGAUGAGAAUGCAAUUUAAACUUAGAUUCUGCUGCCAGAUAGUUUUAUGUCUGUCGUUUGGACAGAUUUUUUACGUGGACGUGGCUGCACUCAUAUACGUCACCCCUCGGAGCAGCACAUCAGUCGGUGAUGCAAACUUCAUAUAUGAGUUCUUGCUCGGAGGGGUUGAGAUUGACCAGGACAACAACUUUGUCUUGCUUGAUAGAGAGAUGGCGUCCAUGAGGCAGGGUCGGGCUUUUCUGGCUCAAAUCAACGACAAUAUCCCCAAAACCCUGCCCUCAGUGGAGGCCAUGCUGAGCACACUUAAGGGUCCGAGGCAUACGUCCAACUCUCGGGUCCAGUUUGACAGCCUCGUCCUGACUAUAGUGUACUCAGCACAUUUAGCAAAGACCCUCGAAAGAGAAGAGGACCAACUCGCCUGGGCUGGGAUACUUCAACGACUGGCAAAUGUCACCGUUCAGGAACUGCGGGGCAAUCAAUCAUCCUUUUAACAUGACGAUAUUUAGCAUCACUUAUACGAAAGAUAGAAUUUUUAUUUUGUGCAAUUAUAACGUAUAGAACCUACACUUUUAAAACAAUGUAGGCCUAUGCUGUAUAAAUAAUUAUCACUUGACCCUUGCAGAGUCGACACAUGACCUAUAUUACAGUUUUUCUCAGUCGCUUUGGUACAUUUCUCAGAUCAGAAUUGAAAUUCUCGAAACUACCUGUUCAAUCUUCACAUCAUUGUGUCGUUUGUGCAAAUCAAAAAAGCAGUUUCUCAUUUCUUUGAACAAGUUGCAAAUGCUUUGCUACAUUCAUGCAAAUGAUUAUGUACAAUUCUCUGCUCUUUCUUAAUUAUCAAUUGCUUAUGUCAUGUUGAUCAAAAUGUAUUGUAAUGGGUCUCUAUUGAAUAGUCUCACCCCCACAACAUUUAGGCAUUAGUUCAUUGCAUAAGUCUUUACAUGCAAAAUGGUUGAACAAGUUGUCAUAUGUCAAGCAUAUUUCUAUACAUUUCCAUUAGACUUUUUUUCUAAAUCUGUCCUGAAUUGGUAAAUUGCUACCAGGUGAAUCUAGACUUUCUCUAAAGAAGGGAAAUGUGUGAAGUGUUAGAUCAACCAGUUUACUGGAAUAGCUCAAAGGUGCAUCUCCUGAACCAUGAACUGGCAAGUAUAUAUAGCUGGAGCACAACACAAUGUUACAUUGUCUGAGAAUUUGUGGCCCAACAGACAGGAACGUCAGGAGGUGUAGGAUGACUGCACUGUAAUUCCUACAGCAAUGCAUGUAGGAAGGAGAUGCAUCCCUAAGGAGAUUUUCCUAUGUUCACAUUUCUAGCAAUGACAUGGUCUGUCAACAAAUACAGUGCAAACAGUCAAAGCGUAAAUGUGAAUCUUGUCCAGUCUCUUGCAAUCAAUCUCCCACAUACACUAAGGUGUAACUUAGAAUUUACAAUAAUUGUCUUCAAAACUUUAGCCAUGGUUUACAUCAGAACAUCCCUCCAGAGUACACUGUUAUAUUGACAACAUGCCGAAGCAAUUUGACUGUCUUAUCCGUCCACAAUGACUUGUCAUUUUGAUGGCACUCACAUGUUAAUUGACACAGAUAUUUACUUUUGAGAAACAAACUAAGGAUUUUGAGCAAGAGACUUGCUUUUGCAUGAAAUCCAUGGUGCUUUGCUAUUUGUACGAAUUAUUUUGAGAAAUGCACUUACUGUUUUGCAAAUUUCAAUUCUGAUCUAAGAAAUGUACCAAAGCGACUGAGAAAAACUGUAAUUCAGUUGUUUGCAAUUAGCAACCUCGCUACUAGAUACCACUUAAUGCUACACACUGCAACUUUUAACAUGCUUUCUAAACAUAAAAUAAUAAUCAAAUCAUCAAAUAACCUUUUAUUUAACAACAGUACAAAAAACAUAAAAGUAUACAAUAGAAUUUGUUCGCCUGUAUAACCUUAGGCUUAAGUGAAUGGACAAAUCCCUGGAGAGUGCUACAACCUGAAUGAUCACAUGUACAAGAACAUCCGGUACCUUAUAUACAAAUAAACAACACCAAUCAGCAUCUUCCAUGGGUCCGUCUUUACUUCUU